rnacentral:rRNA from 1 species
UACGGAGGGUGCAAGCAUUAAUCGGAAUUACUGGGCGUAAAGCGUGCGCAGGCGGUUUGUUAAGUCUGCUGUGAAAUCCCCGAGCUCAACUUGGGAAUUGCAGUGGAUACUGGCAAGCUGGAGUACGGUAGAGGAAGGUGGAAUUCCCGGUGUAGCAGUGAAAUGCGUAGAGAUCGGGAGGAACACCAGUGGCGAAGGCGGCCUCUGGACCAGUACUGACGCUCAUGCACGAAAAGCGUGGGGAGCAAACAGG